CCUGUCACUGAUUUAAAAAAAUCAAUGAGUACAGCAUUCUGUAUGGAUAACAAACUCCAAGCUGCGUGAGGACCAACAGCAGCUCCUCGCCCUGGAGUGUCACCAUCACCUCCCUGUUUCUCUGGGGCUCGGGACUGAUGUCUGAGCCGAAAGGCCACACGCUGCCGCACAGGCAGGUGCCGGGUUCACCCACCGAGGACACCAGACCCUAAAAUAAUUUCACCAUGGGCUUUAAUUGCGGUGCGAGUAGAUGACGCGCGUUUCUCACUGGGGAGCCGCAGGCUGAGCCCGGCAGUUUGGCAGGCAGCACUCGCUCCGUUCACACCGGUAAUCUCAGCCCUUUUGCUGCACACGCAGCUUCUCAGCAUCUUGCUGAGAUUUCGGUACUGAAACCUCACUGAAACCAGGUGCUCCCCUGUUUGUUAGAAAUGUCACCGAUUGCCACUGAGGACAGACUGGAAUCCAAGUAUGUGGGCCAUCCCAGCUGGUCCGUUGAUUAAACCCCCUCGCCCUUAACCAGACAGGCAGACCCCAUUGGCUGCCGGUCAUUCCUUUUUUUUUUCUUUUUUGUCUCCUUCAUGCUUUUAGGGGAACUCUGAGAUGGCAGCCCGAAGCAGUGAUGGAGCAGCUGGUGAGGGGUGCAGCCCUGCAAGCACAGGUGGAAGCGGUGCACGUGUGGGACCAGAUGGGGCUGAGCCUGGCUCCACCCCUCCCUCCCCUCAUUUAAGGGCUGGCAGCCCCACAGGCAGCGUUUCUUCCUGGAGAUGCCUCCUGUGGAUUGCUGUGUGAGCUCUGGUUCUUGGAAAGAGGUGAGUGAUUCUUUCUUUCUUGCAGAGUUCUGAUCUGUGCCUUUCUGUGGGGCUCCUAAGCUGGUUUACAGUAGCUGUGUCUGCUCUGCCCCUGCUCAUGCUGCCUUCCAGUUGUUCUCUGAGGGGAGCAAAGGGGUUAGCUGCCUUUUUCUGAAGCGGUCAUGGAGGAACUGAUGCUCGUUCCUUUCUUUUGCUCCCAUCUGUUUCUGGAACGCUUCCGUCAGCCCCAAGGUUUCCUCUGCAGCUCUUGUUCAGCUCAGUACCUUCCCGUGAAGUCUCUGUUCCCUCUUUCAUGGUUCUCGUUGCGGAAUCUCCACCCUGGGACUCCAAACUGGACAGACGGAAGGCUUUCUGGGGCUGCUCUGGUUAGUGCUUUAAGCUCUGUGCAAUCUGUGGAGCAGACGGUGGAACACCAUGAAGCCCUCGUUCGUGCGUCGCUGCCCAAUCAGCUCCGUGGCUGGCGAUAGAGUGAGGUGCGUGUAUCCGGCUGGGAGCUGAGCUUAAGAAAAGCCCCGGGCCUCAGAGGCCGUUUUCUUCAUCCUCACGUAGUACAAUCCAGUCUCCACUGCUCCAGCAUGCUGAACACAAGUAUUCUGUGCCUGUUUUGUCUGGUUCUCUCCUAGAGCUCCAUUACGAAUUUGUCAGUAGUAACAGAUGGCAGGGCACAGUUCUCCGAGCGCCUUGUGGGCGACCACCCCAGGGUCCCGGGGCUCUUCCUGUUUUUAUGGCAGAUCUGGCUUCGUAUUUAUAGGAAACAAAGGACCGUCCUCUACUGGACCGCUCCGUCUGGAUCACCCCAGAUAGCUCCAUCCCAAUUGUCAGGGGAUGCUGUUAGUUUCCCAGUCCGUACGACACCCGAUCUCCCCAGCCCUCUUCCUUCCAUCCCCUGAGCCCCGUUAAGUCGCUGGCUGUGCAGCUGUGGGACCCAACAGUGUGAUGAAGCAACGCCUCUGGUGCGCUGAAUGCUGGGACCGGCACAGAGAGGCUCCGUGGCUGACGUGGAUCUUCCUGUUUGGACUGCUUGCUGAGUUUCCCCGGAGCUGUUGAGCACGCGGGCUUCCCCGCCUGCCCUGAUUGCUCACCAGGCCAUCCACGUGCUUUGUGUCAUCGUGCCUCACGGCUUCAGGGACAGGGCGUCCACCGCAUCUCCGGGCAGCCUGUUCCACUGCACAGAAUCACAGAAUGACAGAAUGGCCCGGGUUGGAA